UCCAAGGUGAAGGUGUACCCCGGACAAGGU
rnacentral:piRNA from 1 species